AGUCCAGAUGCUGGGCGCCGGAACCAGUUUGGCUUAAAGCUGCGAACCACGAACCGGAGGGACAUGCCCAGCCACUAAACGGAAAAGAGGACUUGGUCGAACCUGGUUCUACUUGGCGGGAGUGAUUGGUUCAGGAAGGACCAUGUGACUCACACCAAACCAAUGAGAUUCCGUUUAAAGAAGAUCCCAGAAUUCUUGGGAAGCCUUUUUUUCUCUUGGAUUUGAAGCUGGCAUGUGUCGUUGUGAUGCUGCUCGGGAGAGCCUACUGAAAAUGAGGCCAAUACAGAAAAAAGUGGAGCCAGAAGAUGGAGAGAGACUGGGUCCCCCUUAUAUCCCAUAAGCCCUAGAACCCAGCUUGCCAGAAAAGGCUCUACCCCUGGAAUUUCAACUUGUCAGUGCAAAUAAAUACCCUUAUUCACUUCA